AUGAUGAACAUCAAUGACAUCCAAGAAUUUUUCAAAUGCUUGAACCCACUCAUGAUGAUUCCAUACACGAGGAAUAUCAACGGAAAUAACCCGAUAACCCUUCAUGGACAAUGACAUAAUUUGUUUAUAGUAAACAUCAGCUGUCCCUGCUAUUCCAGGAAGGCAAAUUAGUGGCGGAACCACUUUAGGACCAAACUCAUAGUAUCGCCAUUGCUUAGUGCCCAUCUAUAAGAAAAAUAAAACAGGAAGUGAAAAAUGCAAAAUACAAGUUGAGAUGCUGGACAUAAAAAAUCAUUAAGAAAAAAAAUGUACCUUCAUUGGCAACCAAACAAUUGACGAAGAACAAAGAGUCUAAAGUUACAAACAAGGGCAGUAGUGUAGUGAAAUGGUGAAGCUAUGAAUGGAAAUUCAAUAUUAAUACUGAACAGAUGCAACACUUAACUGAGUGAAAUACAAAAUCAAAUUCAAGCUCAUAAGAAUACAUGCUAAAAAAAAUAAACCAAUUACAGUUUAAGCAUCUGACAUUAAAUAUUGAAUCUUUCAGAUUGGAAAAACAUAUACAUAAUUGAGUGUAUCAUCCACUUAAUCCGGAACCUUAUAACUAGAAUAAAAGCAAAACCAAUAACCAGAGUAAAUUAACAAGUAAAAGCCAUAAUCAAGCUAGAAUAGAACACGCCCAGAUCAAUAAAUGUCGAAAUUGAGGAAAACCCAAUGCCGAAAAUUGGCAAAGGAAACUAUAACUAAAAGUCUAAAACCCAGUAACAAAACGAAGGUAAGAAAUAAAACCCAUGAGAAAAAAAAAGAGAGAAGAGAGUGGAUUGAAAAACAUUUACAGGGAUCUU
rnacentral:misc_RNA from 1 species